CAGCCAAUAUUCGGCGUUUAUAUAAUAAAGCGCGAUCGGUUUCUGUCGCCAGACAAAUGGCUCAUCACACAAACAAACGUUCGUCAUCGAGGGCCGGCGUAUGUUACAGCUCUGUUGUUAACAUUGUUGUUCAGUGUCAUUCUCAAUAAUUGAAAUUAUCCAAACAAUGUAAAAAACUAACGAAGUAAAUUUUACAGAUGGGUGAGGAUUUUAUUUAUAUCAAAUCACUCGAACACGCCGCAUAAGCCUACACUAUACGUUUGUACUGUUUCGCACAUUAUUUGGGUGAAAAACGUAGCUGGUCAGGGGUGGAUUUACAUUAAAUCGUUGGCGUCAGAUGGUCAGAAACCAUCAGCAGCUAAAAUCUCCGGAGGAAAACACAGGAGGAGAGGAUACUCAAACUACCCAGUACCAGCUGAUAGUUUUAGUACAAAGAACACUCAAAGAGAAUGAAUGAUAAUCUGAGAAUGUUCAUUGCAUCAAAAUUAAGACAACAACUGGCAAAACUAGAAGUUAUAUUUCGGUAAGCCGAACUGUGCGCCGUCAGACAAGAACAUGCCGUACCCCAAUCCAGUAGAGAUCUUUGCGUUUUGUCUUGAGUAUUUUCGUUUCGUCUCUUCAUUGUUUUUAACACUGUAUUUAAGAGCUAUCUUGUAUGCACAUUUUAGUCUGAUGAUGGUAUAGUUCUUACCGAAAUAUAUUUCCCUACUUUUGCCAAUUGUUGUCUGCAUUUCUACAGCGGCAAUGAACAUUCUCGGAUUAUCAUUUAUCGUAGCUCUCUGUAUACUCAAAUUAGAGGGAAGAAAUGGAAAUGAAUCGGCCACGCAUUAAGAAAGCAACGGGAAAGUGUCUCCAGACAGGCCCUCCUCUGGAAACGAAAGAAAGCGAGGAAGUACAAAAGCAAAAAACUGCAGAAGGUCAACCGAACAAGAACUGCGGCAGAUAGGUCUAAAAUGGAACAAAUUAGAAGAAGGAACAUUGUGGCAGCGCUCUACGCUUCACAGAGGAGCGAAGGGGACAGAGAGUGAGGGGCGGGAGGGGAGGGUAGAAGGAGCAACUAAGCAUAGCAUCAAGUCCUUCCCCCUCUCACAACCCCACCCCCCUCAAUCCCUGCGAGUUUGUGCAACCUCGUUCCCGAAGUCCUAUCUUUAGGGCAGAACUGCUCAUAACCGGCGCGAGUUAUUCCUUGUCCCCCUUUUCCCUAAUAUUUAGAACUGGCGUUCAAUUUCAAUCUGGUUAUCUCUAUUGCCUCUGAUAUUUGAUUAUCAUGUGUGAGAUUAGUCCACUGUACUGCCAAUUACACUGUAACCAGUCCUUUUUUAUCUGUAGCUAUAGCUUUCUUUCCAUUUCCUUCCUACGAUUUGUUUACCAGAACUGGAAACACUCUCUGAACACGUUAAAGAAUGCGGGGGUGCACCCGAAUUUUCGUGGAAAAUGUGAAUUUAAUUUUAUUUUGUUUUUCUCGGAAUUUAAUUGCGUUGAAGGAGGGGAGGGGACGGUAAAGAAGAAAUAUCCCACAAUGCCUAUCAAUCGUUUAAUUUGAGAAAUUUUUUCCACGUGCUACAUGUAGAGAAGGUUAUUUGGCUACGAUUUUCAACUUCCUGAUCAGAGAAAAAGAAUGGAGUGUGGGAAUAUCGAGAAGUCGACGCCGAAGCCGCCAUAUUGCAUGCUUAUUGUGUUGUUUAUACGCAGAGAAAUAUCAAGCAUGGAAUGCUACAUGUAGAAUCAAUAAACUCUGUUUGAGAGAGAAGACUGAACAGCUUCAGAUGCCCUGUAUUGAUGAGGUAUGUAUAUGCUGAUUACUUACACAUUCUAAACUUAAGGCCACAGCAGGGAGCCUCCUUAUCAGUUUAAUGGGGAUUCUGGUCAGAAUUUUGAAAAGCACCCCUUUGAGGUGCUAGAAUGCACUUUUUAUGUUGUGGUUCAAGUUAAUUAGUAACUCAAAUAACUGCCUAUUAAUUUUUCACAUUGUGAGUUUGGGAGCAAAUUUCACUCGUUUGGUCUUUCUGCCCUUCACUUCCUGUUGAACUUUUUUUCGCAUACAUGUAACAUGAUUUACUCCCGAGUGAUUUGGUUUGAUAGCAAAGAUUUCUGUCAUUGGAUCAGUUACUAGACAGCUGGUUUUGCAAAUCUGUGUAACAUUUGGUAAUGAUUCAGGGUGCAACAAAAUGCUUUAAUUUAUAGAAACUGACAUGGUUUACAGCAGAGAAUUCUGAGUGAGAAAGUGAACAGAUACUUUUUACCCACAUGGUAUUUGCAUGAUCCAUUUUUUGCCAUGAUAUAGUUUGUCAUCUGAUGUGCAUGUAUGGGUAGUUGAGCUUACAUUUCCUGAAGAACAGAUUACACAAUUGCAAUGUAGCUUCUUGUUGUAGAUGACAAAUUAUAAGCCAGAAUUUUUUAAUCGUUUUGACUCUUAAAAAAUUUGAAUCUUUUCUGAACUACAUGCAUGUGCGGUGAUAAAAGAACAAAGAAAAUGCUCGUUUGUCAUGACUAUCUGCCCCAAUUAAGCCAUAAGUGACAGCAUGCUGCACCAUGCAAUAAGUCAAAUUAUUAAAUUACAGCCAUGCUAUGGUGAGCUUUUUCCAAAAGUUAU
rnacentral:lncRNA from 1 species